GUUAGAGUGAGAUUUGGUUAUAGUCUUAAUCUAUGAUGACCAGAUAGAUACAUGAUAUAUGAUUGAGAAAGGAGAUGUAGUUAUUUCCUGCUGCUGCUGUAAUGAAGAACCACAAACAGGGGUUUUGAUGAGCACAGUUCAGUAGAUCACAAGUCCAACAUAGGUCUCAGUAAACUAAAACCAAGCAUGCAUUUCCUUUCUGGGGGCUGAAGGGAAUCCAUCUUCUUGCUUCCUCCAGUGUCCAGAGGCUGCUUCUUUUCCUUGGCCAGUGGCCCCUUCCUCCAUCUUCAUAACCAGAUCAGGUCCUUUUCAUGCUGCCACCUCUCUUGUUCUGUCUUCAUAAUCACAUUUUCUUCCUUUCCCUUGCUAUCUGGAACCUGAAAGUUCUGGGAUUAUACCAUUCUCUUCCAAAACUGGUCUGCCUUUCAGCUAGGGAGUUAUGAAUGAGGAUAUAGUAAGAAUGAUCAGACAGGAAAGAUAGCAAGCAUAUCGCCAGGAGUCAGAAGCACAGAUGAUAUAGAAAAGAAAAGCAGAAAAAAGAUGGAGAAUCAAGAAGUAUGUCUUAGGGCUGUGGCUGUAGUUCAGUGACAGAGUCCUUGUGUGACAUGUGCGAGGCUCUGGCCUCCUUUAAAAAGUGUAUCUGAGUCUCAUUUUUUUAUUUUUGGGGUACCGGGGAUCAAACUCGGGACCUUGCGCUUGCAAGGCAGGCACCAGAACCACUGAGCUAAAUCCCCGGCCUGAGUCUGAAUUGUUUAAUAGGAAGUAUUUUUAGUAAAAUUAUGCUUGUCAAAUAAAUAAAAUUUAAAUGCUUUUAGAAAAAAAUACAUGGUUUUUAUUAUUCAAAGGAAGUAAUUUAUGAUACAAUCAUAAAGACAUUGAAAAAAUAACUAAUAACCUAGGCAGUACUGAAACAGUGGCAUUGCAAAGACUUUCUAGGAAAAUCUGGAUUCUGUUAAACUUGUAGAAAUUUUGUUUCCCAUAUUUAUUUUCUACCUCUCUACUGUACUCUAUUACAACCAUAGGAGAAAAGAAAAAAUUUAUCUGUAUCAAACAGAAACAUGAUUCUGGCACCUAAAUGAAUUUCCAUGAAAAAAUAGAGCAAAAUGGACAGAAAGAAGGGGCAGGCAUAUUUUAUUACAUUUAUUAUUGUCUUUUUUUUGGUACCGGGGAUUGAACUCGGGACCUACUGCUUACUAGGCAGGCGGCCGUACCACUGAGCUAAAUCCCCAGCCCUUAUUGUCCUUUUUUGUAGAUUCUCCUGAUUUAUUUUAAAAUCCUGGUUAUAUAGUACUAGAAUUUAUAUUUAUAGCUAAAUAAGUAUAUCCCUUAGGCCCAAGUUCGUAUAAAAAAUAAAGGUGUUCUUGUUUCAAGAGAUAUUUUAAGGGCUGUGUAUCAGUCAGUAUUUACUAGAGAAACAGAUAUAAUACAAGAUAGAUAGAUAUAUAUGAGAAUUUACGAGAUUGCCUUACAAUGGCCACCCUCCAGAGGGUCUGUCUGCACACUGGAGACCAAAGGAGUCGGUCAAAGUUCCGGAGCUCACUACGGUGUCCUGUGGGCGUCUGUAUCAGGAGGCUGAUGAGUCUGAGAUGGAAGGCUGAAGAGUCUGUGCUGGAAGGCAAAGACUGGAGCUCCUCCAAAGGAACUGGAGGAACUGGAGCAUCCUUCCUCAUUUCGCCUUUAUACCAGUCAGAUGAGGAGCAGCCCUAAGGUGGAUCUCCCAUGACCUAAGAUGUGGAAUUCCUGAGCCAAUUUAGCUAAGAUUCCCUUAGCCAAACUUCUCAAGUUGACAUAAUCGCACAACCAUCACAGGCUGAGAAUAGAGCUUAAUGAUACAAUGCUUGUCUAGCAUUUGCAAGGCCAUGGGUUUGAACCCUGAUGCCAUACACACAAAAAAGAUAUUUUUAAAUCUUCAUAUUCUGGAUUGGUUUAAUAGUCUUAGGCGCCCUCACCCCAGUCUUUGUACUCAAAUAUAAUUGCCAGCUCUUUCCCUUUUUUACUUCCUAUAUACCAUAGGAGCUUAACAGCACACCUGUCCUUAUAGGAUAUUAUUCUCAUUUCUUCAUUGUUCUUUAAUUUCAUUUUUGCCUUUCUUUCUUAGCCAUAUAUAAUCUCAUACUUUGAUGAAUAAUUCCUUCAGCUCAAUGGAUAAGAGAAACCAGGCAAAACUUCACCCUCAAAAGAUGAGGAAGCUGAAGCAGGAGGAGCAGUGAACAUCCCGGGAUACUUCUCUCCCCAGCAACCAUAGUGACAUUUUAAAAUCGUAAGUAAUAUCAUGUCAUAGCUUUCUCUCCACCGAUAAUUCCCCACUAACAUCCGUAUCACAAUAAAAGUCAAACUGUCUGCCCUGGUGUACAAAGCCCCUACAUCAUCUGGGUCCUCUCUAUUUCUCCAAUAUCAGUUUCUUUUGGUCUUCCCUUUUUACACCCCAACCGCACUGGUUUCCUUUUUUUUCCCUAACACACCAAGCAUGAUUGAGCCUCUGUUUAUGCUGUUUCUGGGCUGAAAACUCUCCCUCCUCAUCUUUGCGUGGUUGGAUCCUUUUUUAACAUCCAUGCCUCACCCUAAUUCACUCUUCAGAGAGGCCGGACAGAAACUUAAUCUAGUCGCCAUCUGUCGUGUCACUCUCCUUCAAUUCUCUGUGCCUUUGUUUUACUAGCUCACAUUGUGUUAUGUUUUACUCUUUGGUCUGCAUGGAUGUGUACACACACAGCUACACUCUAAGCUCUGUGAGAACAGGGACCUUGUUGGUCUUAUUCAACCACAAUAACUUUCAUGCUUGGAACAGUGCUGAUAGUAGGUGCUCAGCAACAUUUUGAAAAAUGAAUAAGCCAUUUUAAGCAAAAGGAUCUGAUAAAUGGAAAUUGAUGACAUUUUUUGUGAGGUCACAUUUUUGUGAGGUUUUAUCUAAUCUGACUAAAUUCCUAGAACUAAUGAAGAAAAUAAAAUUGAAACCUCUUUUUUUUUCUACAUUUGUGAUCCUUCAGAAGAGACACAAUGCCACCUCACCCCAGUAAGAAUGGCUGCUAUCAUGAAAUCAACCAAUAACAAAUGCUGAUGGGGCUGUGGGGAAAGAGGAAGCCUGCUCCACUGCCGGUGGGAGUGUAGACUGGUGCAACCACUGUGGAAAUCAGUAUGGAGAUACCUCAAAGAACUAGGACUGGAAGUCUCAUUUGACUCAGCUAUUCCCCUGCUGGGGAUCUUCCCCAAAGAAUUAAAAGAAUCAUACCACAGUGAUCUAUGUGCACCUAUGUUCAUAGCAGCACAAUUUGUGGUAGCUAACACUUGGAAGCAACCCAAAUGCCCAUCAACUGGAGACUGGAUAAAGAAAAUGUGGGUUUUUUUAUAAAAUAGAGUAUUACUCAGCCAUAAAGAACGAGAAACUAGAGACAUUUAUAGUCAAAUGGAUGUACAUUGAGGCGAUACUCUUAAGUGAAAUAAAUAGGUCACACAUAUGUAAAUACCGAAUAGUGUCUCUAGUGUGAGAAACUGAAAGUGUAAAUAAGGACUAAAAUGUGUAAUAGAUAAUAUGAAAUAGUAAGAAAAGUGCAAGGGGGA
ensembl:lncRNA